rnacentral:rRNA from 1 species
UGAAUACGAGACGCUAAGGCGUCGAAGUAGUGUAUGUCAUACUUCCAAGAAAAGCUUGCACUGUCAUAAGUAAAAAAUGCCUGUACCAUAACCGACACAGGUGGGUAGGUAGAGUAUACUAAGGGGCGCGAGAUAACUCUCUCUAAGGAACUCGGCAAAAUAACUCCGUAACUUCGGGAGAAGGAGUACCUUAUUCUAUAAGGUUGCAAUAACAAGAUCCAAGCAACUGUUUAUCAAAAACACAGGUCUCCGCUAAGUCGUAAGACGAUGUAUGGGGGCUGACGCCUGCCCAGUGCCAGAAGGUUAAAGAAGUCGGUUAGCAUUAGCGAAGCUGGUAACUGAAGCCCUGGUGAACGGCGGCCGUAACGAUAACGGUCCUAAGGUAGCGAAAUUCCUUGUCGGGUAAGUUCCGACCCGCACGAAAGGCGUAAUGAUUUGGAUACUGUCUCGGAGAGGGGCUCGGUGAAAUAGACUUGUCUGUGAAGAUGCGGACUACCUGCACCAGGACAGAAAGACCCUAUGAAGCUUUACUGUAACUUGAAAUUGAAAUUGGACUUUAUUCGCGCAGUAUAGGUGGGAGGUGUUGAUUAUAAUCUUGCGGGAUUAUUGGAGCCAUCAGUGAGAUACCACUCUUGUAAUGUUAGAUUUCUAACUUUGAAUCAUUAUCUGGUCAAAGGACAGUUUCAGGCGGGCAGUUUGACUGGGGGGUCGCCUCCCAAACGGUAACGGAGGCGUACAAAGGUUUCCUCUGAACGGGUAGAAGUCGUAUCUAGAGUGUAAAGGCAUAAGGAAGCUUGACUGUGAGACCUACAAGUCGAACAGGGACGAAAGUCGGUCUUAGUGAUCUGACGGUACUGAGUGGAAAGGCCGUCACUCAACGGAUAAAAGUUACUCUAAGGAUAACAGGCUGAUCUCCCCCAAGAGUUCACAUCGACGGGGAGGUUUGGCACCUCGAUGUCGGCUCAUCGCAUCCUGGGGCGGUAGUACGUCCCAAGGGUUGGGCUGUUCGCCCAUGAAAGCGGUACGCGAGCUGGGUUCAGAACGUCGUGAGACAGUUCGGUCCAUAUCCGGUGUAGGCGUUAGAAUAUUGAGAGGAGCCUUCUUUAGUACGAGAGGACCGAGAAGGACAUACCUCUGGUGUACCAGUUAUCGUGCCAACGGUAAACGCUGGGUAGCUAUGUAUGGAGUGGAUAACCGCUGAAAGCAUCUAAGUGGGAAGCCCACCUCAAGAUAAG